UGACUUAAUUCGACCUUCGAACCCAUUGCGGGUUCUGUAAAAGGAUUGUUACUCAAGGACAUAAGUGAUUUAAUUCAAGAAAUCACUUAAGUUACAGAAAAAGUUUUUGAAAAUUUUUUUGCAGAUAAUUGACAAGUAAGUUGACCCGAGAACAAGCAGACAAUAAUCCAAUAUAUACUGAUCAAAAAACACAGUAACUAAAAAAUUUCAGAUUUCCAAAAAAUUUGGUACCAAUCAAUAAGAUUCCAGAAAAAUGAAAUUUCCUAAAAACGUUUUCCUAUCACAAUCAAACACAAUAUUCAGUUUCUUUGAAUGAUACAAUCACAGUAACAUGCUUGAAAUCAGAUUCAACAUUUAUAUCAAGCAAAGGACGACAGUGUUUAAUUUUUAAAGAUCUCACCAAAAAUACUGUGUAAUACAGUAUCUAAAAAUGCAGUUUCGGUUUCUGCAGAUAGGGGUCCGAAACCCUAGCUUCCAAGAAUCACUAUAUUUCACUUUUUAAAAACUGCACAAGUGAAGUAAAUGUGUUAAUACGAUAAGAGAUUAAACUGUAUCCAAAUAUACCUUACCUCACGGCCUUAUAGGCUCUGAUACCAGAUUUGUUAGGCAAUUCGUACCCCAACACCGAAAAACACAUUAAGCACAACACAAAUAUAAAGUGCAAGAAAAUAAGAACACAAGAAUGGUCACCCAGUUCGGCCUUGAAGGCUUAAUCUGGGGGGCUCAGGUCAGCCCAAUCCACUAGUGCAAUUCUGCCUCACAGAGAGAGUGUACAGUACAUAGAACCAAGAUAGAAAACCAGAUCAAUCAUCGACCCUAAAAUCGGAUCUCAAAUCUGGACAUAAACUCACAGCUUCCUCCCUAACCGACUACAACUACAAAAACAAGACAGAUCACACAUACAAGACCGUCCUCUAUUUACUAUAGUAUUUACAUUUUAACCAGAGUCUUCCAAAUGGAGAAACAAUCUCCAGAUUCAAAGAGCCAAGAAAGGAAGAAGAAGAGUCGACCAACAGAGAGAGAAAAAGAGGUAUUAUCAAAACCGUAUGGGAAAAUAAUACCACCCUUCCAGCUGGUUAUCAAAACUAAGGGCCAUCUCUAGUUUAAUCUCCACCAUUCAUUUAAUCCAAUGGUCCACAUCCAACCGGAAGAAACACAGAUCCGGGUCAUAUCAAAUACACGAAUCAGGAGCUGCCACGUGAUAUCUACCAACUUAAAAUACAGCAAAUGUCCAGAUUGCCCUCUCAUUAGUUGCUAAUUUGGAGAACCACGUUUUUUUUCUCCUUCA
rnacentral:lncRNA from 1 species